UACCUCCGCCUGAAUUAUCACCUCCCCCUAUUAAAAACUCAAAACGAGGUUGCGCUUUCUGGUUAUAGCUGUUAGAUGUGUUCCUAAAACGUCCGGAUUACCUACCGGAUAACAUAACAUAAUUAACAUAAACAUAAACAACGAAAAUGACGCUUCGAGGACAAGAAUUCGAGAAAUAAAGUUUACUUGGUCUUUUGUGAUGUUCCAAUUCCAUUUUUUUGAAAGUGACUCAUCAUGUUAUAGUGUGGUAUUUUCUGAAUGACUUUAUGUGAUAGUGUGAACGUUUUCUGACUGGCAGAAGGUAAGUUUUUCAGUUAGCAAUUUACACUUUAAGUUAAAGCUCAACUUUAUCAUAUUGUUUAUUCACUAUUGGAAAACCACCUUUAUAAUCAUUUGAAGUUACGGAAUACUUAUAUAAAGGUUUAUUAGUUUUAAGUAUUUUAUUUAUUAUAAAGUUUAUUAAUUGUUUCAAGAUAUUCAGUUUUCUUUUUGCCCAACCUUGUCAGUCUGGUGCUAAAAAG